GUUUCCUAAUGACCAGGAAUAGAGUGAUGUAGUAUCUCUGCUCUAGUCCAGAGGUUUCCUAAUGACCAGGAAUAGAGUGAUGUAGUAUCUCUGCUCUAGUCCAGAGGUUUCCUAAUGACCAGGGAUAGAGUGAUGUAGUAUCUCUGCUCUAGUCCAGAGGUUUCCUAAUGACCAGGGACAGAGUGAUGUAGUAUCUCUGCUCUAGUCCAGAGGUUUCCUAAUGACCAGGGAUAGAGUGAUGUAGUAUCUCUUCUCUAGUCCAGAGGUUUCCUAAUGACCAGGGAUAGAGUGAUGUAGUAUCUCUGCUCUAGUCCAGAGGUUUCCUAAAGGACCAGGGAUAGGGUGAUGCUUAAUCAAAUCAAAUGUUAUUUGUCACAGCAGGUUUGUUUUUUGUUUUUAAAAUUGUUAAUUUUACCCCCUUUUCAUGGUGUCCAAUUGGUAGUUACAGCCUUGUCUUAUUGCUGCAACUCCCGUACGUACUUGGGAGAGGCGAAGGUUGAGAGCCAUGCGUCCUCCGAAACACGACCCAACCAAGCCGCACAGCUUCUUGACAUGAUGCCUGCUUAACCCAGAAGCCAGCCACUCCAUUGUGUCGGAGGAAAGGCCGUACUGUGUCAGUGUGCUAGCACUCGGCCCGCCACAGGAGUCGCUAGAGCACGAUGGGACAAGGACAUCCCUGCCGGCCAAACCCUCCUCUAACCUAGACGCCGCUGGGCCAAUUGGGUGCCGCCCUAUGGGUCUCCUGGUCGCGGCCAUCUGCGACAGAGCCCGGACUCGAACCAGGAUCUCUAGUGGCACAGCUAGCAACUGUGAUGCAGCGCCUUAGACCACCGCACCACUCGGGAGGUCAACAACAACCUUACAGUGAAAUGCUUACUUAGAAGCCCUUAACCAACAAUGUAGUUUUAAGAGAAAUAAGUGUUAAUUAAGUAAAAAAUAGAUAAGUAAAACAUGUAAGUAAGAAAUAAUUAAAGAGCAGCCUGUAAAAUAACAAUAGCGAGGCUACAUACAGGGGGUACCGGUCAAUGUGCAGGGGCACCGGUUAGUCGAGGUUAUUGAGGUAAUAUGUACAUGUAGGUAGAGUUAAAGUGACUAUGCAUAGAUAAUGACAGAGUAGCAGCAGCGUAGAGGGGGGGGGGCAAAGCAAAUAGUCUGGGUAGCCAUUUGAUUAGCUGUUCAGGAGUCUUAUGGUUUGGUGUUUGAAGCUGUUAAGAAGCCUUUUGGACCUAGACCAGCGCGCCGGUAAACGCUUGCCGUGCGGUAGCAGAGAAAACAGUCUAUGACUAGGGCCUUCCUCUGACACCACCUGGUAUAGAGGUCCUGGAUGGCAGGAAGCUUGGCCCCAGUGGUGUACUGGACCGUACGCACUACCCUCUGUAGUGCCUUGCGGUCGGAGCCCGAGCAGUUGCCGUACCAGGCAGUGAUGCAACCGGUCAGGAUGCUCUCGAGGGUGCAGCUGUAGAACUUUUUGAGGAUCUGAGAACACAUGACAAAUCUUUUCAGUCUCCUGAGAGGGUAUAGGUUUCUGGGAUAAUGGUGUUGAUGUGAGCCGUGACCUGCCUUACAAAGCACAACAUGGCUACAGACGUGAGUGCUACGGGUCGGUAGUCAUUUAGGCAGGUUACCUUGUGUUCUUGGGCACAGGGACUAUGGUGGUCUGCGUGAAACAUGUAUUACAGACUAAGACAGGGACAGGUUGAAACUUGGCAGUUGGUCAACGCAUGCUUGGAGUACACGUCCUGGUAAUCCGUCUGGCCCUGCAGCCUUGUAGGUGUUUACCUGUUUAAAGGUCUUGCACACAUCGGCUGCGGAGAGAGUGAUCACACAGUCGUCCGGAACAGCUGAUGCUCUCAUGCUUGAUGCAGUGUUACUUGCCUGGAAGCGAGCAUAGAAGUGAUUUAGCUCAUCUGGUAGGCUCGUGUCACUGGGCAGCUCUCGGCUGUGCUUCCCUUUGUAGUCUGUAAUGGUUUACAAGCCCUGCCACAUCUGACGAGCAUCAGAGCCGGUGUAGUACGAUUCAAUCUUAGUCCUGUAUUGAUGCUUUGCCUGUUUGAUGGUUCGUCGGAGGGCAUAGGGGGAUUUCUUAUAAGCUUCCGGGUUACAGUUCGGCACCUUGAAAGCGGCAGCUCUACCCUUUAGCACAGUGCGAAUAUUGCCUGUAAUCCAUGGCUUCUGGUUGGGGUAUGUACGUACAGUCACUGGGUGGACGACGUCAUCGCUGCACCCAUUGAUGAAGCCAGUGACUAAUGUGGAGUAAUCCUCUAUGCCAUUGGAAGAAUGGCACAGAUUCCAGUGUGUGCUAGCAAACCAGUCUUGUUGUAACGCGAUUCGUCCUCCUCUGACGAGGAGUAUGAGAGAUCGGACCAAUGUGCAGCGUCGUAAGUGUUCAUCAUUUUUAAUGAAAAGUCACUGAACACGAAAAAUACAAAAUAACCAAGUGAAAGACAGAAACUAAAAAAACAAAACCGUUCUGUCUGGUGAAGACACAGAGACAGAAAACAAUCACCCACAACUAAAAUGGGGAAAACAGGCUACCUAAGUAUGAUUCUCAAUCAGAGACAACGAACCACACCUGCCUCUGAUUGAGAACCAUACCAGGCCAAACACACUCACGCCCUGACCAAACUAAAACAAAGACAUAAUAAAGGAACUAAGGUCAGAACGUGACACCUGUAGUUUAGCAUCUGCUUCACUUCCUUAUUGACCGAGUCACUGGAGCUUCCUGCUUUAGUUUUUGCUUGUAAGCAGGAAUCAGGAGGAUAGAAUUAUGGUCAGAUUUAUCAAAUGGAGGGCGAGGGAGAGCUUCGUACGCGCCUCUGUGUCUGGAGUAAAGGUGGUAGACUUUUUUUCCCCUUUGGUUGCACAUUUAACAUGCUGUGGUGUAGUCCUGACCCCUCCUGUCUCAGCCUCCAGUAUUUAUGCUGCAGUAGUUUAUGUGUCGGGGGCCUAGGGUCAGUUUGUUAUAUCUGGAGUACCUCUCCUGUCCUAUUCGGUGUCCUGUGUGAAUCUAAGUGUGCGUUCUCUAAUUCUCUCUUUCUCUCGGAGGACCUGAGCCCUAGGACCAUGCCCCAGGACUACCUGACAUGAUGACUCCUUGCUGUCCGCAGUCCACCUGGCCGUGCUGCUGCUCCAGUUUCAACUGUUCUGCCUAAUUAUUAUACGACCAUGCUGGUCAUUUAUGAACAUUUGAACAUCUUGGCCAUGUUCUGUUAUAAUCUCCACCCGGCACAGCCAGAAGAGGACUGGCCACCCCACAUAGCCUGGUUCCUCUCUAGGUUUCUUCCUAGGUUUUGGCCUUUCUAGGGAGUUUUUCCUAGCCACCGUGCUUCU
ensembl:lncRNA